rnacentral:rRNA from 1 species
GAUGAACGCUAGCGGCAGGCCUAACACAUGCAAGUCGAGGGGGAAGUUACUUUCGGGUGACUGAGACCGGCGUACGGGUGCGUAACGCGUAUACAAUCUGCCUUUCACUGGGGGAUAGCCCGAAGAAAUUUGGAUUAAUACCCCAUAGUAUAUAGGGACGGCAUCGUUUUUAUAUUAAAGCUUAGGUGGUGAAAGAUGAGUAUGCGUUCUAUUAGCUAGUUGGAGAGGUAACGGCUCCCCAAGGCGAUGAUAGAUAGGGGUUCUGAGAGGGAUGUCCCCCACACUGGUACUGAGAUACGGACCAGACUCCUACGGGAGGCAGCAGUGAGGAAUAUUGGACAAUGGUCGGAAGACUGAUCCAGCCAUGCCGCGUGCAGGAUGAAGGUCUUAUGGAUUGUAAACUGCCUUUGUAAGGGAAGAAUAAGGGCUACGCGUAGUUUGAUGACGGUACCUUACGAAUAAGCAUCGGCUAACUCCGUG